rnacentral:lncRNA from 11 species
GGAAGUAUCAAGAAAGAAGGCUGGAGAAGUAUUCCAGUCUUCAGCCACUGUAAAUUGACUCUGUAUAUAUAUUUUUGCAUAAACUCUGCUGCAAAGAUAAAGCCUUCCAUAAGAGUCACAAGAAGGAAGACAUAGUCAGAAAAAGAUUGUGAAACUCUUCCGAACAACAGAAAACAAUCUUAUCCCAUCUUUGACAAAGCAACCUUUGGAUAUUUAAAGAUGGAUAUAAUAUCUCCU